UACGUAGGGGGCAAGCGUUGUCCGGAUUCAUUGGGCGUAAAGAGCUCGUAGGCGGUUCAGUAAGUCGGGUGUGAAAUCUCCGUGCUCAACACGGAGCGGCCACCUGAUACUGCUGUGACUCGAGUCCGGUAGGGGAGUGUGGAAUUCCCGGUGUAGCGGUGAAAUGCGCAGAUAUCGGGAGGAACACCAGUAGCGAAGGCGGCUCACUGGCCCGGUACUGACGCUGAGGCACGAAAGCGUGGGGAGCAAACAGG
rnacentral:rRNA from 1 species